GACGGAGGGUGCUAGCGUUGUUCGGAAUCACUGGGCGUAAAGGGCGCGUAGGCGGCCUUGCAAGUCGGUUGGUGAAAGCCCGGGGCUCAACCUCGGAACGGCAUUCGAUACGGGACGGCUGGAGACCGGGAGAGGAGAGUGGAAUAGCCAGUGUAGAGGUGAAAUUCGUAGAUAUUGGCUGGAACACCGGUGGCGAAAGCGGCUCUCUGGCCCGGUUCUGACGCUGAGGCGCGAAAGCGUGGGGAGCAAACAGG
rnacentral:rRNA from 1 species